CCCGCUCAGAAACUCAAAUGAAUUGACGGGGGCCCGCACAAGCGGUGGAGUAUGUGGUUUAAUUCGAUGCAACGCGAAGAACCUUACCUGGUCUUGACAUCCCAGAAAUCCCUUGGAAACUUGGGAGUGCUUCCAUUAGGAAGAAUCUGGAGACAGGUGCUGCAUGGCUGUCGUCAGCUCGUGUCGUGAGAUGUUGGGUUAAGUCCCGCAACGAGCGCAACCCUUGCCUUUAGUUGCCAGCAGUUCGGCUGGGCACUCUAAAGGGACUGCCGGUGUUAAACCGGAGGAAGGUGGGGAUGACGUCAAGUCCUCAUGGCCUUUAUGACCAGGGCUACACACGUACUACAAUGGCCGAUACAAAGGGCAGCGACAUCGCGAGGUGAAGCCAAUCCCAUAAAAUCGGUCUCAGUCCGGAUUGGAGUCUGCAACUCGACUCCAUGAAGUUGGAAUCGCUAGUAAUCGUGGAUCAGCAUGCCACGGUGAAUACGUUCCCGGGCCUU
rnacentral:rRNA from 1 species